UUAGUCCGCUACGAGCGCAACCCUCCGCUGUGUGUUACAAGUGUCACACGGUACUGCCGAUAUUAAGUCGGAGGAAGGUGGGGAUGACGUCAAGUCAGCAUGACCUUUAUAUCCAGGGCUACACACACGCUACAAUGGCCAGUACAAUGGGUUGCCAAGCCGCGAGGCGGAGCCAAUCCUAAAAAGCUGGCCUCAGUUCAGAUUGCAGUCUGCAACUCGACUGCAUGAAGUUGGAGUUGCUAGUAACCGCAGGUCAGCAAUACUGCGGUGAAUACGUUCCCGGGGAUU
rnacentral:rRNA from 1 species